GACGAACGCUGGCGGCGUGCUUAACACAUGCAAGUCGAACGGAAAGGCCCUGCUUUUGUGGGGUGCUCGAGUGGCGAACGGGUGAGUAACAAGUGAGUAACCUGCCCUUGACUUUGGGAUAACGUCAGGAAACUGGGGCUAAUACCGGAUAGGAGCUCCUGCUGCAUGGUGGGGGUUGGAAAGUUUCGGCGGUUGGGGAUGGACUCGCGGCUUAUCAGCUUGUUGGUGGGGUAGUGGCUUACCAAGGCUUUGACGGGUAGCCGGCCUGAGAGGGUGACCGGCCACAUUGGGACUGGGAUACGGCCCAGACUCCUACGGGAGGCAGCAGUGGGGAAUAUUGCACAAUGGGCGGAAGCCUGAUGCAGCAACGCCGCGUGCGGGAUGACGGCCUUCGGGUUGUAAACCGCUUUCGCCUGUGACGAAGCGUGAGUGACGGUAAUGGGUAAAGAAGCACCGGCUAACUACGUG
rnacentral:rRNA from 1 species